UAGCAUAUCAAUAAGCGGAGGAAAAGAAACCAACAGGGAUUGCUCUAGUAACGGCGAGUGAAGCAGCAAUAGCUCAAAUUUGAAAUCUGGCGUCCUUCGACGUCCGAGUUGUAAUUUGUAGAGGAUGCUUCUGAGUAACCACCGACCUAAGUUCCUUUGGAACAGGACGUCAUAGAGGGUGAGAAUCCCGUAUGCGGUCGGAAAGGUGCUCUAUACGUAGCUCCUUCGACGAGUCGAGUUGUUUGGGAAUGCAGCUCUAAAUGGGAGGUAAAUUUCUUCUAAAGCUAAAUAUUGGCCAGAGACCGAUAGCGCACAAGUAGAGUGAUCGAAAGAUGAAAAGCACUUUGGAAAGAGAGUUAAAAAGCACGUGAAAUUGUUAAAAGGGAAGGGAUUGCAACCAGACUUGCUCGCGGUGUUCCGCCGGUCUUCUGACCGGUCUACUCGCCGCGUUGCAGGCCAGCAUCGUCUGGUGCCGCUGGAUAAGACUUGAGGAAUGUAGCUCCCUCGGGAGUGUUAUAGCCUCUUGUGAUGCAGCGAGCGCCGGGCGAGGUCCGCGCUUCGGCUAGGAUGCUGGCGUAAUGGUCGUAAUCCGCCCGUCUUGAAACACGGACCAAGGAGUCUAACAUCUAUGCGAGUGUUCGGGUGUCAAACCCCUACGCGUAAUGAAAGUGAACGGAGGUGAGAACCGCAAGGUGCAUCAUCGACCGAUCCUGAUGUCUUCGGAUGGAUUUGAGUAAGAGCAUAGCUGUUGGGGACCCGAAAGAUGGUGAACUAUGCCUGAAUAGGGUGAAGCCAGAGGAAACUCUGGUGGAGGCUCGCAGCGCUUCUGACGUGCAAAUCGAUCGUCAAAUUUGGGUAUAGGGGCGAAGACUAAUCGAACCAUCUAGUAGCUGGUUCCUGCCGAUCUU
rnacentral:rRNA from 1 species